ensembl:piRNA 21ur-5197 ncRNA
UUGAUUUCGACAGUACUCAAA